rnacentral:rRNA from 1 species
UUGUAUAAUGGGUCAGCGACUUAUAUUCAGUGGCAAGGUUAACCAUCUAGGGGAGCCGUAGCGAAAGCGAGUGUUAACUGCGCGACUCAGUCGCUGGAUAUAGACCCGAAACCAGGUGAUCUAGCCAUGGGCAGGUUGAAGAUUGAGUAACAUCAAUUGGAGGACCGAACCGACUAAUGUUGAAAAAUUAGCGGAUGACUUGUGGCUAGGGGUGAAAG